rnacentral:sRNA from 1 species
UCCGUAGGUGAACCUGCGGAAGGAUCAUUAGUAGUGCCCUCUGAUGCAAAUCAUUGGGUUAGAUCUGCUCUCUUCGCAAGAAGAGGGUUUCCAUACACACCGUGAACUGUGGCUUCGGCCAUCACAAACUGUUAGUAAUGAAUGUAAUAUCAUAACAAAAACAAAACUUUUAACAACGGAUCUCUUGGCUCUCGCAUCGAUGAAGAACGCAGCGAAAUGCGAUAAGUAAUGUGAAUUGCAGAAUUCAGUGAAUCAUCGAAUCUUUGAACGCACCUUGCGCCCUUUGGUAUUCCGAAGGGCAUGCCUGUUUGAGUGUCAUGAAACCUCACCCCACUUGGGUUUUUGCCUGAGCGGUGGUGUAUUGGGUGUUGCCUUGCUAAAGGCUCGCCUUAAAGACAUAAGCACCUUGGAUGUAAUACGUUUCAUCCUUCUGGGUGGCUGAUAACCCCACAUACUCAUGAUCUGGCCUCAAAUCAGGUAGGGCUACCCGCUGAACUUAAGCAUAUCAAUAAGCGGAGGAAAAGAAACUAACUAGGAUUCCCUUAGUAACGGCGAGUGAACCGGGAUGAGCUCAAAUUUAAAAUCUGGCGUCUUUCAGGCGUCCGAGUUGUAAUCUAUAGAGGCGUUUUCCGCGCCGGACCGCGUCCAAGUCUCUUGGAAUAGAGUAUCAAAGAGGGUGACAAUCCCGUACUUGACGCGACAACCGGUGCUCUGUGAUACGUUCUCAAUGAGUCGAGUUGUUUGGGAAUGCAGCUCUAAAUGGGUGGUAAAUUCCAUCUAAGGCUAAAUAUUGGCGAGAGACCGAUAGCGAACAAGUACCGUGAGGGAAAGAUGAAAAGCACUUUGGAAAGAGAGUUAAACAGCACGUGAAAUUGUUAAAAGGGAAACGCUUGAAGU